UACAGAGGGUGCAAGCGUUAAUCGGAAUUACUGGGCGUAAAGCGCGCGUAGGCGGCUUUGCAAGUCGGGUGUGAAAUCCCCAGGCUUAACCUGGGAACUGCAUUCGAGACUGCAUUGCUAGAGUAUGGGAGAGGGAAGUGGAAUUUCCGGUGUAGCGGUGAAAUGCGUAGAUAUCGGGAGGAACAUCAGUGGCGAAAGCGACUUCCUGGACCAAUACUGACGCUCAUGUGCGAAAGCGUGGGGAGCAAACAGG
rnacentral:rRNA from 1 species